GAUGCUAAUACCGAAUAAAACUUAGUGUCGCAUGACACAAAGUUAAAAGGCGCUUCGGCGUCACCUAGAGAUGGAUCCGCGGUGCAUUAGUUAGUUGGUGGGGUAAAGGCCUACCAAGACAAUGAUGCAUAGCCGAGUUGAGAGACUGAUCGGCCACAUUGGGACUGAGACACGGCCCAAACUCCUACGGGAGGCUGCAGUAGGGAAUCUUCCACAAUGGGCGAAAGCCUGAUGGAGCAACGCCGCGUGUGUGAUGAAGGCUUUCGGGUCGUAAAGCACUGUUGUAUGGGAAGAACAGCUAGAAUAGGAAAUGAUUUUAGUUUGACGGUACCAUACCAGAAAGGGACGGCUAAAUACGUGCCAGCAGCCGCGGUAAUACGUAUGUCCCGAGCGUUAUCCGGAUUUAUUGGGCGUAAAGCGAGCGCAGACGGUUUAUUAAGUCUGAUGUGAAAGCCCGGAGCUCAACUCCGGAAUGGCAUUGGAAACUGGUUAACUUGAGUGCAGUAGAGGUAAGUGGAACUCCAUGUGUAGCGGUGGAAUGCGUAGAUAUAUGGAAGAACACCAGUGGGCGAAGGCGGCUUACUGGACUGCAACUGACGUUGAGGCUCGAAAGUG
rnacentral:rRNA from 1 species